ACCAAAUUGGGGUUUUUUCUUUGAAGGACCCUUCUUUGCUUAUUCGGUGACUUUAUUGUAGGAUCACAAUUGCUCAUUUCUGUGGUGCCGAUCACAGGUUUCUUUCAAAACUUGGGUUCUUCCUCAAAUAAAAAAGCAUCAUGUACUAUAUUUUACCAAAACUGAUGCCAAGAUUUCCAAUAAUGGCAUUCCUGAGGAGGUUCAAAAACUGCGGUGCCGUGUAAAUUAAAAAGCUUUGAGAUUCACUCCACAAAUAGAACAUG